rnacentral:rRNA from 1 species
UGGGGAAUUUUGGACAAUGGGCGAAAGCCUGAUCCAGCAAUGCCGCGUGUGUGAAGAAGGCCUUCGGGUUGUAAAGCACUUUUGUCCGGAAAGAAAUCCUUGGCUCUAAUACAGUCGGGGGAUGACGGUACCGGAAGAAUAAGCACCGGCUAACUACGUGCCAGCAGCCGCGGUAAUACGUAGGGUGCAAGCGUUAAUCGGAAUUACUGGGCGUAAAGCGUGCGCAGGCGGUUUGCUAAGACCGAUGUGAAAUCCCCGGGCUCAACCUGGGAACUGCAUUGGUGACUGGCAGGCUAGAGUAUGGCAGAGGGGGGUAGAAUUCCACGUGUAGCAGUGAAAUGCGUAGAGAUGUGGAGGAAUACCGAUGGCGAAGGCAGCCCCCUGGGCCAAUACUGACGCUCAUGCACGAAAGCGUGGGGGAGCAAAACAGGAUUAGAUACCCUGGUAGUCCACGCCCUAAACGAUGUCAACUAGUUGUUGGGGGAUUCAUUUCCUUAGUAACGUAGCUAACGCGUGAAGUUGACCGCCUGGGGAGUACGGUCGCAAGAUUAAAACUUAAAUGAAUUGACGGGGUCAUAGCUGUUUCCU